GUAUCAAGUCUCGGCAGCACAUAUACUAAAAUUAGAAUGAUACAGAGAAGAUUAGCAGGGCCCCUGGGCUAGACAGUUUUAUAAUCAGAUGUACCAAUAAAACUUUGU